rnacentral:rRNA from 1 species
AAUGAACGCUGGCGGCAUGCCUAACACAUGCAAGUCGAACGAGACCUUCGGGUCUAGUGGCGCACGGGUGCGUAACGCGUGGGAAUCUGCCCUUGGGUUCGGAAUAACAGUUAGAAAUGACUGCUAAUACCGAAUGAUGUCGUAAGACCAAAGAUUCAUCGCCCAGGGAUGAGCCCGCGUAGGAUUAGCUAGUUGGUGGGGUAACGGCCCACCAAGCCAACGAUCAGAACUGGUGUGAGAGCACGACCAGUCACACGGGCACUGAGACACGGGCCCGACUCCUACGGGAGGCAGCAGUAAGGAAUAUUGGUCAAUGGACGAAAGUCUGAACCAGCCAUGCCGCGUGAAGGAUGAAGGCCCUCUGGGUUGUAAACUUCUUUUAUAGGGACGAAAAAGGGCAUUCUUGCUCACUUGACGGUACCCUAGGAAUAAGCACCGGCUAACUCCGUGCCA